rnacentral:rRNA from 1 species
GAGGAAUAUUGGUCAAUGGUCGGAAGACUGAACCAGCCAUGCCGCGUGCAGGAAGAAGCAUCUAUGGUGUGUAAACUGCUUUUGUACGGGAAGAAACACUCCUACGUGUAGGAGCUUGACGGUACCGUAAGAAUAAGGAUCGGCUAACUCCGUGCCAGCAGCCGCGGUAAUACGGAGGAUCCAAGCGUUAUCCGGAAUCAUUGGGUUUAAAGGGUCCGUAGGCGGUUGAAUAAGUCAGUGGUGAAAUCCGGCAGCUUAACUGUCGAACUGCCAUUGAUACUGUUUAACUUGAAUUACUGUGAAGUAACUAGAAUAUGUAGUGUAGCGGUGAAAUGCUUAGAUAUUACAUGGAAUACCAAUUGCGAAGGCAGGUUACUAAUGGUUUAUUGACGCUGAUGGACGAAAGCGUGGGGAGCGAAC